AACGAACGCUGGCGGCAUGCCUAACACAUGCAAGUCGAACGAGACCCUCGGGUCUAGUGGCGCACGGGGGCGUGACGGGUGGGAACCUGCCCUUGGGUUAGGGAUAACAGUUGGAAACCACUGCUAAUACCGGUUGAUCUCUUCGAACAAAAAAUUUAUCGCUCAAGGAGGAGCUCGGGUAGGAUUAGCUUGUUGGUGAGGUAAGAGCUCACAAAGGCGACGAUCCUAAGCUGGUCUGAGAGGAUGAUUAGCCACACUGGGAAUGAGACACGGCCCAGACUCCUACGGGAGGCAGCAGUGGGGAAUAUUGGACAAUGGGCGAAAGCCUGAUACAGCAAUGCCGCGUGAGUGAUGAAGGCCUUAGGGUUGUAAAGCUCUUUUACCCGGGAUGGUAAUGACAGUACCGGGAGAAUAAGCCCCGGCUAACUCCGUGCCAGCCGCCGCCGUAA
rnacentral:rRNA from 1 species